UAUACUAUGGGUAGACAGAUGGUCUGCAAAAACCUCAGAGAUCUACAGGAAAUGGCAUUUAAGGAUGUUUUACUAACAUCCUUAAAUGAGACGGGUCUGUUCCUUGCAGCAACCCUAUCCUACUUCAAAGAAGAGGACGAGUAAGAAGAGGACGAGCAUCGAAAGAGCCUCCAGAUGUACCUUGCUUCAAAAGUGGCAAGCUUGUCACUAGGCAAGAAACUUCUCUUGCUUUAGCUGCUGACAGUAUGCUGUCCAAACUGGACAAACGGGGCAGGACAGUCGAUUUGAAGCUUUGUCAAGACAGGAUAGUGUAGCUGCCUUUAUUACGAAUGCUAAUCAUGCUCCGUCAAAACUGGAAAUCUGCCCUCAGUUGAUUCUGAUUGGUAAAUAGAGAUGCCGGCAGCCAAUGGCUGGGCAGGGCAGACAGAAGCAGGACUUGAGAAUAUCUGGGGCUUGGGAGGGAGACGGAAGAGGGAGCAGGAGGUUCACCAUGCUGGGAGAGUGGAGACGCCACGCCUGAGAAGAGUGGACGACAGGAAGGCAUAGCUGCCAUGAGGGAGUCCAGGGGGUGUGGCCCAGAGGGCUGCCCAGCCGAGUCCAGGGCAGCCAAGGGAGAGUACAGAAUUUAGGAGAGAAGAGAGAGUGGCACAGAAAGAAGUGAAUAGUCCUCAUUUGGACGAGAAGAACUUGGACCUACCCAGAACUGCUUGCACAUGGCUCCUGCUUUUGCUAAUAUCCUGGUGGCCAUGUUUAAGAAAGAGAACUUGUGUAACUGGAUGUCUCUCAGCUGUGGGGAUUAUGAUGCGGUGCUCUGAAGAGGUAUGGCAAAGUCAGACUAAUCUUCAGCUUGAGGCCUCCUGGCCAUUAGGGAAGGAUUCACCAAGCUGAGGACUAAAACCCAGAGACUCUCUAGCACAAACUCAUGGCAAUUUCCUGUUUACUUCUGUCUGGGAGUGACCGAAAGGGAGGGAAGGAGAGAAGGAAAAGCAAAUGGCUGCUUCUAUCAGAGGUCACCUGGUUCACACAGGUCAGUAAAGCUUUUUUUCUCCAUCCUGCUGCUUAUCUGAGACACCCCAACUCUCUCAUCCCCAUGUGGUACCCACUUACUUUGUCCUGAGUCCUUUUACUGCCUAAAAGGAUAUACAAGCAGUCACACGUGACAGGGCAGAUGCCUUUAAUUCUAGAGCUGGGGACACAGAGGCAUGUGGAUCUCUGUGAGGUUAGCCUAGCCUGCUCUACCUAGGAAUUUCCAGGUCAU
rnacentral:sRNA from 1 species